GACGAACGCUGGCGGCGCGCUUAACACAUGCAAGUCGAGCGAGAACCAGGACUUCGGUCCUGGGGACAGCGGCGAACGGGUGAGUAACACGUGGAUAACCUGCCCUCGGCACCGGGAUAGCCCGAGGAAACUCGGAUUAAUACCGGAUAGCCCUUCCGACUCUCGAGUCGGUCCGAAAAGGUAGCUUCGGCCUCUGGCCGAGGAUGGGUCCGCGGCGGAUUAGCUUGUUGGUGGGGUAACGGCCUACCAAGGCANCGAUCCGUAGCUGGUCUGAGAGGACGAUCAGCCACACUGGGACUGAGACACGGCCCAGACUCCUACGGGAGGCAGCAGUGGGGAAUCUUGCGCAAUGGGCGAAAGCCUGACGCAGCGACGCCGCGUGAGGGAAGAAGGCCUCGGUU
rnacentral:rRNA from 1 species